CGUGGUCACUGGACGAUCGCGACGCCUUUCAGGCAUCGAGGAAAGUCCGGGCUCCACAAGGCAAGGAGACUGGUAAAUCCAGCCGUUCCGUUGGCGGGUGACGGGGCAGGGAAAGUGCCGCAGAAAGCAAACCGCCUCUACCGGAUCGUGCCGCAGAGGUAAGGGUGAAAGGGUGGGGUAAGAGCCCACCGCGGGGGCCGCAAGGUUCCCGGCAUGGUAAACCCCUCCUGGAGCAAGCUCGAAUCGCACAAUGGCGUCGCCUGCGCCGUGCGGAAAGUAGCGCUAGAACUGCGGUGGCAACGCCGUGGUCGAGAGAAAUGAUCGUCGUCAACAGAACCCGGCUUACCGGUGACCCUCCACC
rnacentral:RNase_P_RNA from 1 species